AAUAUAGUUGUUUACAUUCGUGUUCGGUUUUGUUGAUAUUUUUUGUAAAAUAUUAUUGGGUUGGUGUAUCUGAAUAGGGAUAGAAUAAUAUUUGUUAUGGUUUAUUAGUACUGUGAAGGAAUAUUUAAUAUUUUAUUUAGUUGAUUUAAUUUAUUGUACCUUGUGUAUCAGGGUUGAUUUAUAAUAAAAUAUAAAUUUAUUUUUCUCGAUGGCAGGAGAGCUAAAUAAUUAAUUUAUUUAUUGUGACAUAAAUAUUAAUAAUAAUUGUUUUGGAAUGAAAUGUUAAUCGUUCUUGUGGAUAUCUAGUUUCUUAAGAAAUAAAUUUAAUUUAGUUUCCAAUUUGUAAUAAUUUCAUUUUUGAAUAAGAUUUGAAUUGGUAAUAAUGUUUUGGGGGAUGAGCUCUGGAACUGAAAUUAAUGAAUAUUUUAUAUUAAUUGAGUUUUGUGGAUUUAUAAUUGGUUAUUGUUAUGAGUAUAUUAUAAUUUUACUUAUUUACUAUUUUAUUUGUAUUAAGUUCUUGGUUUAUAUUAGGGAAAUUUAAUUAAUUUUUUAUUGAUUGUUAUUAUGAUUGAAUUAGUAUAGUGUAAAUUGUAAUUUGGUUAAACACUUUAAGUUGGUUUAAGGAAUUAGGCAAAAGGAUAUGUUCACAUGUUUAACAAAAACAUCUUUCCUUGAAUGUUUGGGGAAUAUGACCUGCCCACUGAAAUAUUUGAAGGGCCGCGGUAAUUUGACCGUGCAAAGGUAGCAUAAUCAUUAGUUUCUUAAUUGGGAACUGGAAUGAAUGGUUAGAUGAAAUAUAUGCUGUCUUGGCUUAAUUUAUAGAAUUUAAUUAUUAGGUUAAAAAGCCUAAAUGGAUUUGUGGGACGAGAAGACCCUAUAGAAUUUGAUAAUUUGAAUUGCGGUUUUGUAUGAUUUUUAUUAGUAUUUUGAAUUAUUUUGUUGGGGUGAUAGGAAGAUAAAUUAAACUCUUUUUGUUUUGUUUAUAUUGAUAAAUAAAUAGGUGAUCCAUCUAAUGAUGAUUAUAAGAUUUAAUUACCUUAGGGAUAACAGCGUAAUCUUUCUUGAGAGUUCAUAUCGACAGGAAGGGUUGCGACCUCGAUGUUGGAUUAAGAUAAAUAUUUGGUGUAGAAUUUAAAUUGUUAGGUCUGUUCGACCUUUAAAAUCUUACAUGAUCUGAGUUCAAACCGGCGUGAGCCAGGUUGGUUUCUAUCUAUAAUUUUUUGUAAUACUUUAGUACGAGAGGACCAAGUAUUAGAAAUAAUUUUAUUGUAUUUGUUUAUUAUUAAAUA
rnacentral:rRNA from 1 species